UACGUAGGGGGCAAGCGUUGUCCGGAUUUAUUGGGCGUAAAGAGCGUGUAGGCGGCCAGGUAGGUCUGCUGUGAAAACUCGAGGCUCAACCUCGAGAUGUCGGCGGAAACCAUCUGGCUAGAGUCCGGAAGAGGAGAAUGGAAUUCCCGGUGUAGCGGUGAAAUGCGCAGAUAUCGGGAAGAACACCCGUGGCGAAGGCGGCCUGCUGGGCUGUUGCUGACGCUGAGGCGCGACAGCGUGGGGAGCGAACAGG
rnacentral:rRNA from 1 species